GCAUGGGCAGCUGUAGGGCGUGAGGGAAAGCAGGGGUUGCCCAGGAGCCCUGGCCACUGUCCACAGGCAGAUCAAAGGGCACUGCUGAUAUGUGCAGGAAGGGAUUCCUGGUAGGAUUUGCAGGACUGGAAUUUGCCAUCAUCAGUCACUAACCAGCAGUGCCAGAUCAGUCAUGCAUACCUUCCAGAAGGUCAUCCAGUUUCAAUCCAAAGACAUCAAGAAAUAAAGAAGCUGCUAUCAUCCACAACAGAGUGCUCCAGCAAAGAGCUGCCUCCACUAUUGAAAAAUUCUGUCUUCAUCCUCGUUUGGAUUUUGCUAGCAUGAGUUCACAAGAACAUUGCCUGCUGGCUAAGGGAAGCAGACUAUGCCACGCUUUACAGAAGAUGUAACUGCUGCGGGAAGUACCGACAGGACAUGACUCAGAAAUACAUACAAGUGUAUCACUCUACAUUUAUGCAAGUAAAUUCCCUUGGAUUUGCUGCCAAGGAUGGCUGCAUUGCACUGGAUGUAGCAGACAUAAUACAAAGAGCCACAUGGUCACGGAUCAGCGCUUAGUGAGUAUACACAGCAGUCUCUCCCACUACAACUUGGCCACGAGUAUGGAGUAAAUGUUGCUUUCUCCUUCAGCAUUUUGGCCUGCCUUCUUAACCAUUUAUUUGCUUCCUGGAGGCUGUUUAGUUUAGGGAUGUAAAGAACAGGUUUGAUUACAUAUUCUCCCAGAAUAUCUGUGAACUGAUCUUGGGCACCUGGUGAUCUCCAUGUCAGGUGCUGCUCUC